rnacentral:rRNA from 1 species
AGUCGAGGGAGAAGUUGCUUUCGGGCAGCAGGAACCGGCGAACGGGUGCCUUUUCGUAUGCAACCUACCUAUAACUGGGGGAUAGCCCGAAGAAAUUCGGAUUAAUACCCUAUAAUAUUUACUACUCGCAUGAGUUGGUAUCUUAAAACUCCGGUGGUUAUAGAUGGGCAUGCGGCCUAUUAGUUUGUUGGUGAGGUAACGGCUCACCAAAACUACGAUAGGGAGGGGUUCUGAGAGGAUGAUCCCCCACACUGGUACUGAGACACGGACCAUACUCCUACGGGAGGCAGCUGUAGGGAAUAUUGGUCAAUGGACGCAAGUCUGAACCAGCCAUGCCGCGUGCUUGAAGACGGCCCUAUGGGUUGUAAACUGCUUUUAUAUAGGAAGAAACCUUUCCACGUGUGGAAAGCUGACAGUACUAUUUGAAUAAGGACCGGCUAACUCCGUGCCAGCAGCCGCGGUAAUACGGAGGGUACAAGCGUUGUCCGGAUUUAUUGAGUUUAAAGGGUACGUAGGCAGGAUUUUAAUUCAAUGGUGAAAGCCUCCAGCUCAACUGAAGAACUGCCGUUGAAACUGAAAUUCUUGAAUAUGGAUGAAGUGGCUGGAAUAUAACAUGUAUCGUUGAAAUGCUUAGAUAUGUUAUAGAACACCAAUUGCGAAGGCAGAUCACUAAAUCAUUAUUGACGCUGAGGUACAAAAGCGUGGGGAGCGAACAGGAUUAAAUACCCUGCUAGUCCACGCCAUAAACGAUGUUCACUCGCUGUUGGCGAUAUACUGUCAGCGGCCAAGCGAAAGCAUUAAAUGGACCACCUGCCGAGUACAAU